CCAAGGCCAGUGGCGCAAGGGUGAGUAAGGCGACGGUAACCAACCCCAGGAUCGGGUGUAGCCGCGGGAAACUGCGGGUAAUCCCCGGCGACGUCCGGGAGGGGCAUCCCUCCUUGACCAAAGCUCCGGCGUCGUGGGACGGGCUGUCGUGGUAUUAGGUUGUUGGCGGGGUAACGGCCCACCAAGCCUGUGAUGCCUACCGGGCGUGCGAGCGUGGCCCGGCACACUGGGACUGAGACACUGCCCAG
rnacentral:rRNA from 1 species